rnacentral:rRNA from 1 species
UACAGAGGGUGCGAGCGUUGUUCGGAUUUAUUGGGCGUAAAGAGCGUGUAGGCGGCCACACAGGUCCGCUGUGAAAACUCGAGGCUCAACCUCGAGCUGUCGGUGGAAACCGUGUGGCUAGAGUCCGGAAGAGGAGAGUGGAAUUCCCGGUGUAGCGGUGAAAUGCGCAGAUAUCGGGAAGAACACCCGUGGCGAAGGCGGCUCUCUGGGACGGUACUGACGCUGAGACGCGAAAGCGUGGGGAGCGAACAGG